rnacentral:rRNA from 1 species
GGCGUGCCUAACACAUGCAAGUCGAACGGAGAUUACAGACGGAAGUUUUCGGAUGGAAGACUGUAAUUCUUAGUGGCGGACGGGUGAGUAACGCGUGGGCAACCUGCCCUGUACAGGGGGAUAGCAGCUGGAAACGGCUGGUAAGACCGCAUAAGUCGGUUAAAUCGCAUGAUUUGACCGGGAAAUGAGCAAUCAGGUAUAGGAUGGGCCCGCGUCCGAUUAGCCAGUUGGCAGGGUAAAAGCCUACCAAAGCGACGAUCGGUAGCCGGACUGAGAGGUCGGACGGCCACAUUGGGACUGAGACACGGCCCAAACUCCUACGGGAGGCAGCAGUGGGGGAUAUUGCACAAUGGAGGAAACUCUGAUGCAGCGACGCCGCGUGAGUGAAGAAGUAUUUCGGUAUGUAAAGCUCUAUCAGCA